rnacentral:rRNA from 1 species
UACGUAGGGUGCAAGCGUUAAUCGGAAUUACUGGGCGUAAAGCGUGCGCAGGCGGUUUUGUAAGUCAGAUGUGAAAUCCCCGGGCUCAACCUGGGAACUGCGUUUGAAACUACAAGGCUAGAGUGUAGCAGAGGGGGGUGGAAUUCCACGUGUAGCAGUGAAAUGCGUAGAGAUGUGGAGGAACACCGAUGGCGAAGGCAGCCCCCUGGGUUAACACUGACGCUCAGGCACGAAAGCGUGGGAGCAAACAGG